UGGCUCAGGAUGAACGCUAGCGACAGGCCUAACACAUGCAAGUCGAGGGGCAGCACAAGGAGCAAUCUGAGGUGGCGACCGGCGCACGGGUGAGUAACACGUAUGCAACCUGCCUGUAAGCGGGGAAUAACCCGUUGAAAGACGGACUAAUACCGCAUAAUACUAAAUUACUGCAUGGUAAUUUAUUUAAACAUUUAUGGCUUACAGAUGGGCAUGCGCAUGAUUAGCUAGUUGGAGAGGUAACGGCUCCCCAAGGCAACGAUCAUUAGGGGUUCUGAGAGGAAGGUCCCCCACACUGGUACUGAGACACGGACCAGACUCCUACGGGAGGCAGCAGUGAGGAAUAUUGGUCAAUGGACGAGAGUCUGAACCAGCCAAGUCGCGUGCAGGAAGAAUGUCCUAUGGAUUGUAAACUGCUUUUGCAGGGGAAUAAGGUGCAUCACGUGUGAUGUUUUGUAUGUACUCUGCGAAUAAGGAUCGGCUAACUCCGUGCCAGCCGCCGC
rnacentral:rRNA from 1 species